rnacentral:lncRNA from 1 species
AAUUUCAUCUUAUCCACCCUUUUAUAUCUACUCUUCUUAUCUACUUAGCUUAUUUAUCAUAUUAUCAUGCAAACUUUCUUAGUCUACCCUAAACCCAAUCUCUUGGCAAAAAGAGCCUAUUACCAAUUACUGGCUUGCUAUCUCUAGCCUCCCCUAGUAACCAAUAAUGCAUGAUAAACGAAAGCAAAAUACAAUUGAUCGUCCUACCCCUAUCUCUAGGCGGUAUUAGCAUAAUCAAGGAAUUCCGCCCAGUUCAUGACAUUACCGUAUGUCUCCGUAUCAAU